rnacentral:rRNA from 1 species
UUCGGGGUACUCGAGUGGCGAACGGGUGAGUAACACGUGGGUGAUCUGCCCUGCACUUUGGGAUAAGCCUGGGAAACUGGGUCUAAUACCGAAUAGGACCACGCGCUUCAUGGUGUGUGGUGGAAAGCUUUUGCGGUGUGGGAUGGGCCCGCGGCCUAUCAGCUUGUUGGUGGGGUAAUGGCCUACCAAGGCGACGACGGGUAGCCGGCCUGAGAGGGUGACCGGCCACACUGGGACUGAGAUACGGCCCAGACUCCUACGGGAGGCAGCAGUGGGGAAUAUUGCACAAUGGGCGCAAGCCUGAUGCAGCGACGCCGCGUGAGGGAUGACGGCCUUUCGGGUUGUAAACCUCUUUCAAUAGGGACGAAGCGCAAGUGACGGUACCUAUAGAAGAAGCACCGGCCAACUACGUGCCAGCAGCCGCGGUAAUACGUAGGGUGCGAGCGUUGUCCGGAAUUACUGGGCGUAAAGAGCUCGUAGGUGGUUUGUCGCGUUGUUCGUGAAAACUCACAGCUUAACUGUGGGCGUGCGGGCGAUACGGGCAGACUAGAGUACUGCAGGGGAGACUGGAAUUCCUGGUGUAGCGGUGGAAUGCGCAGAUAUCAGGAGGAACACCGGUGGCGAAGGCGGGUCUCUGGGCAGUAACUGACGCUGAGGAGCGAAAGCGUGGGGAGCGAACAGGAUUAGAUACCCUGGUAGUCCACGCCGUAAACGGUGGGUACUAGGUGUGGGUUCCUUCCUUGGGAUCCGUGCCGUAGCUAACGCAUUAAGUACCCCGCCUGGGGAGUACGGCCGCAAGGCUAAAACUCAAAGGAAUUGACGGGGGCCCGCACAAGCGGCGGAGCAUGUGGAUUAAUUCGAUGCAACGCGAAGAACCUUACCUGGGUUUGACAUGCACAGGACGCCGGCAGAGAUGUCGGUUCCCUUGUGGCCUGUGUGCAGGUGGUGCAUGGCUGUCGUCAGCUCGUGUCGUGAGAUGUUGGGUUAAGUCCCGCAACGAGCGCAACCCUUGUCCUAUGUUGCCAGCGGGUUAUGCCGGGGACUCGUAGGAGACUGCCGGGGUCAACUCGGAGGAAGGUGGGGAUGACGUCAAGUCAUCAUGCCCCUUAUGUCCAGGGCUUCACACAUGCUACAAUGGCCGGUACAAAGGGCUGCGAUGCCGUGAGGUGGAGCGAAUCCUUUCAAAGCCGGUCUCAGUUCGGAUCGGGGUCUGCAACUCGACCCCGUGAAGUCGGAGUCGCUAGUAAUCGCAGAUCAGCAACGCUGCGGUGAAUACGUUCCCGGGCCUUGUACACACCGCCCGUCACGUCAAAGUGAAAGUCGGUAACACCCGAAGCCGGU